rnacentral:rRNA from 1 species
UUCCAGACUCCUACGGGAGGCAGCAGUGAGGAAUAUUGGUCAAUGGACGAGAGUCUGAACCAGCCAAGUAGCGUGAAGGAUGACUGCCCUAUGGGUUGUAAACUUCUUUUAUAUGGGAAUAAAAUGUUCCACGUGUGGGAUUUUGUAUGUACCAUAUGAAUAAGGAUCGGCUAACUCCGUGCCAGCAGCCGCGGUAAUACGGAGGAUCCGAGCGUUAUCCGGAUUUAUUGGGUUUAAAGGGAGCGUAGGUGGAUUGUUAAGUCAGUUGUGAAAGUUUGCGGCUCAACCGUAAAAUUGCAGUUGAAACUGGCAGUCUUGAGUACAGUAGAGGUGGGCGGAAUUCGUGGUGUAGCGGUGAAAUGCGUAGAUAUCAGGAGGAACACCGGCGGCGAAGGCGGCCUGCUGGACCGUGACUGACGUUGAGGCUCGAGAGCGUGGGGAGCAAACAGGAUUAGAUACCCCCGUACC